CCUCAGAAGCUGAUUGGCCAGCUUCAUUGUUUGGUUAGAAAAAGGAAGGAGGAGAUGUGUUCAGGAAAAAACAAUGAGAGGCUGUCUUUGCAAUCCCCAUAAGCAUCUUCAGUGGAGUGGGAUGCCAGGGUGCAGCAGCUGGAGCUCCCUCCAGAUCUUCCUCUCGCUGUUCUAUCACUGACCUACACCAGAAUUUGGAGUGGGAGCUGGUCUGGAGGACGACUUGGAAGAAAAUAAAAGGAACAAAAAGGCUAGGCUCAUGGAACAAUCUUAAAAAGGAGCAAAGACAGGGGAAGGAGAGAGGUCUUCAAUUACUAGGACUUCCUUAUUUUUACAACUUGUUAUUAUUUACUCAUGGAGGAAGGCAUAUUGUGAAUACACAAAGAAAGAUAUUUUGUGAUGUACUAUUCUUGGUUUCUUGUUUGCUUUACCUCUGAUUUAAAAAUAUUCAUAAUUUGCUCUCCCCUUCAGCAAUGUAUCUAUUAUGUAUUGAACAGCAUUACUGAGCUCAAUUGUGUUUAAUACAAUGAUGUUUGGAUGGCUGAAGA